CCCUUAGAUGCUCUGGGCCGCACGCGCGCUACACUGACUGCUCCAACAAGUUACCUGGGCUGACAAGCAUCCGGGAAAUCUUGCAAAGGCAGUCGUGAUGGGGAUAGAUUCUUGUAAUUUUUCAUCUUCAACGAGGAAUUCCUAGUAAACGCAAGUCAUCAGCUUGCAUUGAUUACGUCCCUGCCCUUUGUACACACCGCCCGUCGCUACUACCGAUUGAAUGGUUUAGUGAGAUCUUCGGAUUGGCGCCACUGCAGCUCAGCAAUGGGCUUGGUGGAUGCCGAAAAGUUGAUCAAACUUGAUCAUUUAGAGGAAGUAAAAGUCGUAACA
rnacentral:rRNA from 1 species